rnacentral:rRNA from 1 species
GAUGAACGCUAGCGGCAGGCCUAACACAUGCAAGUCGAGGGGUAGAGGGGGCUUGCUCCCUUGAGACCGGCGCACGGGUGCGUAACGCGUAUGCAAUCUACCUUGUACAGGGGAAUAGCCCAGGGAAACUUGGAUUAAUGCCCCAUAGUCUAUAAUGAGAGCAUCUUAUUAUUAUUAAAGCUUCGGCGGCAAAAGAUGAGUAUGCGUUCUAUUAGCUAGAUGGUGUGGUAACGGCACACCAUGGCAACGAUAGAUAGGGGCCCUGAGAGGGGGAUCCCCCACACUGGUACUGAGACACGGACCAGACUCCUACGGGAGGCAGCAGUGAGGAAUAUUGGACAAUGGGCGCAAGCCUGAUCCAGCCAUGCCGCGUGCAGGAAGACUGCCCUAUGGGUUGUAAACUGCUUUUAUACAGGAAGAAACACUCCCUCGUGAGGGAGCUUGACGGUACUGUAAGAAUAAGGAUCGGCUAACUCCGUGCCAGCAGCCGCGGUAAUACGGAGGGUCCGAGCGUUAUCCGGAAUUAUUGGGUUUAAAGGGUCCGUAGGCGGGCCAUUAAGUCAGUGGUGAAAGUUUGCAGCUCAACUGUAAAAUUGCCUUUGAUACUGAUGGUCUUGAGUUAUGGUGAAGUUGCCGGAAUAUGUAGUGGAGCGGUGAAAUGCAUAGAUAUUACAUAGAACACCGAUUGCGAAGGCAGGUGACUAACCAUAUACUGACGCUGAUGGACGAAAGCGUGGGGAGCGAACUGGAUUAGAUACCCUGGUAGUCCACGCCGUAAACGAUGGAUACUAGCUGUCCGCUGCCUUGAGUCGGUCUGAGUGGCUAAGCGAAAGUGAUAAGUAUCCCACCUGGGGAGUACGUUCGCAAGAAUGAAACUCAAAGGAAUUGACGGGGGCCCGCACAAGCGGCGGAGCAUGUGGUUUAAUUCGAUGAUACGCGAGGAACCUUACCAGGGCUUAAAUGUAAGUUGCAUGAUUUAGAGAUAGAUCUUUCUUCGGACUACUUACAAGGUGCUGCAUGGUUGUCGUCAGCUCGUGCCGUGAGGUGUCAGGUUAAGUCCUAUAGCGAGCGCAACCCCUGUUGUUAGUUGCCAGCGAGGCAUGUCGGGAACUCUAACAAGACUGCCAGUGCAAACUGUGAGGAAGGUGGGGGUGACGUCAAAUCAUCACGGCCCUUACGUCCUGGGCUACACACGUGCUACAAUGGUAGGUACAGAGAGCAGCCACUGGGUGACCAGGAGCGAAUCUAUAAAACCAAUCACAGUUCGGAUCGGAGUCUGCAACUCGACUCCGUGAAGCUGGAAUCGCUAGUAAUCGGAUAUCAGCCAUGAUCCGGUGAAUACGUUCCCGGGCCU